rnacentral:rRNA from 1 species
GACGAACGCUGGCGGCGUGCUUAACACAUGCAAGUCGAACGGUGAUGCUCCAGCUUGCUGGAGUGGAUCAGUGGCGAACGGGUGAGUAACACGUGAGCAACCUGCCCCAGACUCUGGAAUAAGCGCUGGAAACGGCGUCUAAUACUGGAUACGAAACUGGCCCGCAUGGGCAUGGUUUGGAAAGUUCUUCGGUUUGGGAUGGGCUCGCGGCCUAUCAGCUUGUUGGUGAGGUAAUGGCUCACCAAGGCUACGACGGGUAGCCGGCCUGAGAGGGCGACCGGCCACACUGGGACUGAGACACGGCCCAGACUCCUACGGGAGGCAGCAGUGGGGAAUAUUGCACAAUGGGCGAAAGCCUGAUGCAGCGACGCCGCGUGAGGGAUGACGGCCUUCGGGUUGUAAACCUCUUUCAGCAGGGAAGAAGCGAAAGUGACGGUACCUGCAGAAGAAGCACCGGCUAACUACGUG